GAACACAGGAGCUGCCAGGUCACAGAGAUGAGAGGUCAGAAUUGGCUCCAGGGCAACGGAAGACCAGUGCAGGAUGAAGUCACAGGGAACAGAAACCGGAGCCACAGAGGACAGGGUAAGUCGCAGAAAGGAGAGACACACAUACAUGGAAAGAGGAGCUUUCUCCAAUCUUAAUGAUUCCCAGCUCUCAGCCUCGUUUCUGCAACCCAGCCUGCAAGCAAACUGUCCUGCUUUGGACCCUGCUGUGUCACUCUCCGCACCAGCCUUUGCCUCUGCUCUUCGCUCUAUGAAGUCCUCCCAGGCUGCACGGAAGGACGACUUUCUCAGAAUCUGAAGAGAUUUCUAGUCUGGAUUUCACUGAUUGCAUUCUCCUGGUGCAGUUCAACACAUCUCCCUGUUUUCUGCAUUUCCUGCAAAUUGACAGCUGGAUCCAAAG
rnacentral:lncRNA from 1 species